rnacentral:rRNA from 1 species
UACAGAGGGGGCAAGCGUUGUUCGGAAUUACUGGGCGUAAAGGGCGCGUAGGCGGCCGCCUAAGUCAGACGUGAAAUCCCUCGGCUCAACCGGGGAACUGCGUCUGAUACUGGGUGGCUUGAAUUCGGGAGAGGGAUGCGGAAUUCCAGGUGUAGCGGUGAAAUGCGUAGAUAUCUGGAGGAAUACCGGUGGCGAAGGCGGCAGUCCUGGACCGGCAUUGACGCUGAGGAGCGGAAAGCUAGGGGAACAAACGGGAUUAAGAAACCCUGAGUACGUCCGAG